UCGCAAGCGCUGUCACCGCCCUCGACGGUAGCCCCGCCCCGGCCCACCCCCUGCGGGCCGGUCCCAGCUUCCGUCCUUGCCCCUCGCCAGGGUCCUUGCCGCCACCUCUCUGGUCUGAAAGUCUGGGCGGGAUGCGCCCCAGCCCGCAUCCUUCCCUCCUCUACCCGCCUUCCCUGUCCUGGGCUCUCUCGGGAGGCGGCGCCCCUUCUGCCUGCGGCCUGACAUACCAGGAAUAGCUGCACACAAUUGCACCUUUCCGGGCCAAGAAACUUCCCCCGUGGGGACGCAGAGCCGCCUGGCCUCCCCGCCACUACCCUCCGGCUCCACUAAGCCGGCUGACCGGUCCCAGACGCUGCGCGGUCCCCGUCAACGCCCCGGCUUCCGGCCGCAGCAAAAUAAGUAACUAAUACAUGCCCCGGAGCCUGGAGCUUGAUACUUCACCGUGGAGACAGCUGCCCAGGAUGCGAAGUGCACAGACCUGGGAAGCUGAACAACUUAUGUUACCGUUACCAGAUCUCCAGUAUCAUCGUCCGAAAAGUGUGGAAUAAGAAACAUCUCGGAAGGAUUGAUUUAUAAUAAUUAGAUAUGAUGGUGGUUGUAAAGGCCAAUGAGUAUAUUUACCACAAAA